rnacentral:rRNA from 1 species
CCUACGGGAGGCAGCAGUCGAGAAUCAUUCGCAAUGGGCGCAAGCCUGACGGUGCGACGCCGCGUGGAGGAAGAAGGCCCUCGGGUCGUAAACUCCUGUCAAGAGAGAGUGAGUAUCUCUAGAGGAAGGGGCGGCUAACUCCGUGCCAGCAGCCGCGGUAAUACGGAGGCCCCAAGCGUUGUUCGGAUUUAUUGGGCGUAAAGGGUGCGUAGGCGGCGUGGUAAGUCUGGUGUGAAAGGCGUGGGCUCAACCCGCGGACUGCAUUGGAUACUGCCAUGCUAGAGGACUGGAGAGGAGAAUGGAAUUCACGGUGGAGCAGUGAAAUGCGUAGAUAUCGUGAGGAAGGCCAGUGGCGAAGGCGAUUCUCUGGACAGACUGACGCUGAGGCACGAAGGCUGGGGGAGCGAACAGGAUUAGAUACCCUUGUAGUC